rnacentral:rRNA from 1 species
UACAGAGGGGGCAAGCGUUGUCCGGAAUUAUUGGGCGUAAAGAGUUCGUAGGCGGUGAUCUAAGUCUGAUGUUAAAGCCUGAAGCUCAACUUCAGCAUGGCAUUGGAAACUGGAUCGCUAGAGUGCAGUAGAGGUAACGGGAAUUCCAGGUGUAGCGGUGAAAUGCGUAGAUAUCUGGAGGAACACCAGUGGCGAAAGCGUGUUACUGGGCUGCAACUGACGCUGAGGAACGAAAGCCAGGGGAGCAAAAGGG